rnacentral:rRNA from 1 species
CCCCACGGGAGGCAGCAGUGGGGAAUAUUGCACAAUGGGGGAAACCCUGAUGCAGCGACGCCGCGUGAGUGAAGAAGUAUCUCGGUACGUAAAGCUCUAUCAGCAGGGAAGAAAAAAAGUCUUUGGCUUUGGACGGUACCUGACUAAGAAGCCCCGGCUAACUACGUGCCAGCAGCCGCGGUAAUACGUAGGGGGUGAGCGUUAUCCGGAUUUACUGGGUGUAAAGGGAGCGUAGACGGUUCUGCAAGUCUGAAGUGAAAGCCCGUGGCUUAACCGCGGAACGGCUUUGGAAACUGUGGAACUGG